GAUGAACGCUGGCGGCGUGCUUAACACAUGCAAGUCGAACGAAGCAUUUGCGACAGAUUUUUUCGGAAUGAAGUUGCUUAUGACUGAGUGGCGGACGGGUGAGUAACGCGUGGGUAACCUGCCUUGUACUGGGGGAUAGCAGCUGGAAACGGCUGGUAAUACCGCAUAAGCGCACAAUGUUGCAUGACAUGGUGUGAAAAACUCCGGUGGUAUAAGAUGGACCCGCGUCUGAUUAGCUAGUUGGUGAGAUAACAGCCCACCAAGGCGACGAUCAGUAGCCGACCUGAGAGGGUGACCGGCCACAUUGGGACUGAGACACGGCCCAGACUCCUACGGGAGGCAGCAGUGGGGAAUAUUGCACAAUGGAGGAAACUCUGAUGCAGCGACGCCGCGUGAGUGAAGAAGUAAUUCGUUAUGUAAAGCUCUAUCAGCAGGGAAGAUAGUGACGGUACCUGACUAAGAAGCUCCGGCUAAAUACGUGC
rnacentral:rRNA from 1 species